CCCUGGAGAGCUGCCUGGUGCUUCUGGCCUCUUCAGCUUACAUCUUUAGGGCGUAGGCGUCCCUGAGCCCCACUGCCUCACCCACUUUGGCCUCAACCUGGCCCUGUGGCUGCACUGACACCGACUUCUCCUCUCCUCCUCCAUAGGUGGUAUACUAUGUGUUCGCCAUGAUUGGGAUCAACCUGUUCCGAGGUGUCAUUGUGCCUCCCGGAAACAGCAGCCUGGUUCCUGAUAACAGCUCAGCUCCGUGUGGAAGCUUUGAGCAGCUAGGUUACUGGCCCAACAACUUCGACGACUUUGCUGUAAGUCCUCUGCCUUGUCCUUAGGUCCAGCUCGCCUGGGACUCUCCUUCUGUCUUGCCCUGUUCUCUGGUUCCCCCUCUUCCUUGUCCUGGGGCCCUCCUGGACCCUACCUCUGCUGCCCCAUAGGCUGCUCUGAUCACACUGUGGGACGUGAUGGUGGUGAACAAUUGGCAGGUGAUCCUGGAAGCCUAUAAGCACUACUCCGGCCCGUAAGUCUUUGCCCCAGUACUAGCUAUGACCUUGACAUUACACCAGAGGCCCAGGGCCUGGCCUGAGAAGGGAACCCAGCUGCUGGCCUUAGAAGGCUGACCAAGCUGUCUCCUGGCAGGCUUCAACCUUCAUCCAUGUUACACUGGGAGAUAGCCAGGGCCCCAGGCUUCUGCACCCAGGUGGUACAAGUGUGGUUCGAAAUAAAGGAUGUAUAUGCGUGACUGCCUGGGGUCCUGGGGAUUUCUAUGGGGUAGAGUCCUAGGGGAACAGUCGGGUGGCUCAUUUAGCUCAUAGCUUGGAGAACUUUGACCAGCUCAGCAGAGGGCCCCAACUUGUACCUCAUGCUAGGCUUGUUCUGGUGUCCUGGG
rnacentral:lncRNA from 1 species